AUUGAACGCUGGCGGCAGGCUUAACACAUGCAAGUCGAGCGGGGGAAGGUAGCUUGCUACCGGACCUAGCGGCGGACGGGUGAGUAAUGCUUAGGAAUCUGCCUAUUAGUGGGGGACAACAUCUCGAAAGGGAUGCUAAUACCGCAUACGUCCUACGGGAGAAAGCGGGGGACCUUCGGACCUUGCGCUAAUAGAUGAGCCUAAGUCGGAUUGGCUAGGUGGUGGGGUAAAGGCAUACCAAGGCGACGAUCUGUAGCGGGUCUGAGAGGAUGAUCCGCCACACUGGGACUGAGACACGGCCCAGACUCCUACGGGAGGCAGCAGUAGGGAAUAUUGGACAAUGGGGGGAACCCUGAUCCAGCCAUGCCGCGUGUGUGAAGAAGGCCUUAUGGUUGUAAAGCACUUUAAGCGAGGAGGAGGCUACUCUAGUUAAUACCUAGGGAUAGUGGACGUUACUCGCAGAAUAAGCACCGGCCAACUCUGUGCCAGCCGCCGCCGUAA
rnacentral:rRNA from 1 species